rnacentral:lncRNA from 1 species
CAUCAUCACUAAUGUUCUUUAUCCUCUCCACUUUAUUUCUGUGGUCACAGGAACAUGCUGGGCACUCCAGUAGCUAUAAUUUUUAGAACACUGGAUUUCCAUUUGCAAUCUGUGGCAGGCUAAAACCCUUAAUUAGUAACAGCAGGUGCUGAAGUGCUCAAAGCAAAUCACUCCUGUAUUUUAGUGAGUUGUUAUUUAUGUCACUCUUAUCACCAGGAGCAGGGUUGACAAUCAGCAGCAGCUGCAUGGGCCUACACUCUCACGGGGCAAUCUUGGGCCUCCAGCUUCCCCAGGAGUCUGAGAUUUAAGCAGCUCUAUCAGGAGAAACUGAGCAAGCUGCUCUUCUGGCAAGGGCGCACAAAAGGCCCUGCUGGAGCUCCACACUCUCAAGGGUAGGAAAGCACAAUUAUUAAUGUACUACUAGAUAAUUAGCUAUUUUACUCAGAAUUCCAUUUAGUGCAGCUUUGCCUAAUCCUGCACCAUAACCUACUACUUUUGAGUUUUAAUAGGUUCCCCCAUCUUGAAAAAAUUAAGAGAACCUGUUAAGCCGGGCCACUCCAGAGUGGUAAAUAAUUCCUUUUCAGAAAACUUGCUCUCAAGUAGACAGAUACGUGAGGUAGAGUCUUCUGAGGAGGAACAAACUGCACUCAGCACAAAAGCGGCCUCUCAUAUCCCCCCAGGAAGACCUGUGAGACGCUCGAGAAAAAGCAAACACAGGCUGGCCGCGCUUUCUGGGGCGGUCAAGGUUUCAUGUUCUCUAGUGAGGCACUAAGUUGCCGAGGCUGGGCUCAUCCGCAACGUCGCCGAGAGCCAUUUUGGCCUUCACCGAGGGCACCGUCGAAAGGGCGCUUUCAGCAGAGGCCUGAGCCUGCCGUGGGGCUGGAGAAACCUCCCCGGCUCUCCAGCCCCCGGGCCGCGCCCCACAUUGAAACACGCGUGUGCGCGUGA